AAAGGUUCGACAGACGGCAAUAUUAGUGCAACGCACAGAUGAAGUAACACAAAAUGCUCUUUUUAUUCCAUUUUCGAUAUACACACUACAAAGCCAGGAAGGCCAAAGAAAGAAGGGCAAAACGACAAAAAGAAAGUAACUGCAUGACAAGACAGAAAGACAAAAAGAGCUCUAAGAAGGCCCUGCUCCCUCCGACCUAGAGUUAUCUAUUCCGUUCCUCAACCAGGACUGCCUCAGAUUCUCAAUCUCCUCUUCUAGCUCUUCCCUCUUCCGCAGCACGUCUUGGAGCGCCCGACGAAGUUGCUGGCUCUCAGCCUCCGCCUCUCGACGCCUCUUCCUCAAAACUUCGGACUCCGCCUCCGUGUCCGCGAUGGCCCGCCGCU
rnacentral:lncRNA from 1 species